rnacentral:tRNA from 1 species
GCCCCUGUAGCUCAGUGGAUAGAGCACUGGUCUCCGGAACCAGUUGCACAGGUUCAAUUCCUGUCAGGGGUACCA